rnacentral:rRNA from 1 species
AACGUAGGAGACAAACGUUAUCCGGAGUUACUGGGCGUAAAGGGCGUGUAGGUGGUUUCGUAAGUCUGGCGUGAAAUUUUUCGGCUUAACCGGGAAAGGUCGUCGGAUACUGCGGAACUAGAGGACGGUAGAGGCGUGUGGAAUUCCGGGCGUAGUGGUGAAAUGCGUAGAGAUCCGGAGGAACACCAGUGGCGAAGGCGACACGCUGGGCCGUACCUGACACUGAUGCGCGACAGCAUGGGGAGCAAACGGG